AAUAGUUUUUUAAUUAAUGUAGAAGUGUAAAAAAAUAUAGAAAAAAUAUAUAAACACUCGUAAUAACAAGCUUUUUUCAACGAUCCAACCGUCAAACUUAUUUGUACACAUUCCAAGAUUGCAUACGUAAAAAAUUGUAAAAAAACAAACAUUCAAAUAUUACGUAACGGAACAAAAGUUAUCGACGGUUAUAAACAAAAAAUCACAAUUUAACGGUUAUUUUAGCUCCGAUUUUGAUGAUUUUUUACAGAUACACU
rnacentral:lncRNA from 1 species